AUUGAACGCUGGCGGCAUGCCUUACACAUGCAAGUCGAACGGUAACGGGCCUUCGGGUGCCGACGAGUGGCGAACGGGUGAGUAAUGCAUCGGAACGUACCUUUCAGUGGGGGAUAACGUAGCGAAAGUUACGCUAAUACCGCAUAUUCUGUGAGCAGGAAAGCAGGGGAUCGCAAGACCUUGAGCUGAUUGAGCGGCCGAUGUCAGAUUAGGUAGUUGGUGAGGUAAAGGCUCACCAAGGCGACGAUCUGUAGCGGGUCUGAGAGGAUGAUCCGCCACACUGGAACUGAGACACGGUCCAGACUCCUACGGGAGGCAGCAGUGGGGAAUUUUGGACAAUGGGGGCAACCCUGAUCCAGCCAUGCCGCGUGAGUGAAGAAGGCCUUCGGGUUGUAAAGCUCUUUCGGCCGGGAAGAAAUCGUAUGGGUUAAUACCCUGUGCGGAUGACGGUACCGGCAUAAGAAGCACCGGCUAACUACGUGCCAGCCGCCGCCGUAAUAC
rnacentral:rRNA from 1 species